UAUGUAGGUGGCAAGCGUUGUCCGGAAUUAUUGGGCGUAAAGCGCGCGCAGGCGGUCCUUUAAGUCUGAUGUGAAAGCCCACGGCUCAACCGUGGAGGGUCAUUGGAAACUGGGGGACUUGAGUACAGAAGAGGAAAGCGGAAUUCCACGUGUAGCGGUGAAAUGCGUAGAGAUGUGGAGGAACACCAGUGGCGAAGGCGGCUUUCUGGUCUGUAACUGACGCUGAGGCGCGAAAGCGUGGGGAGCAAACAGG
rnacentral:rRNA from 1 species